UACGGGGGGGGCAAGCGUUGUUCGGAAUUACUGGGCGUAAAGGGCUCGUAGGCGGCCAACUAAGUCAGACGUGAAAUCCCUCGGCUUAACCGGGGAACUGCGUCUGAUACUGGUUGGCUUGAAUCCGGGAGAGGGAUGUGGAAUUCCAGGUGUAGCGGUGAAAUGCGUAGAUAUCUGGAGGAAUACCGGUGGCGAAGGCGGCAUCUUGGACCAUUACUGACGCUGAGGCGCGAAAGCUAGGGGAGCAAACGGGG
rnacentral:rRNA from 1 species